GACGAACGCUGGCGGCGUGCCUCAUACAUGCAAGUCGAACGGAGUGGCGAACGGGUGAGGAAUGUAUCGGAACGUGCCCAGUAGCGGGGGAUAAAUACGCGAAAGCGUAGCUAAUACCGCAUACUAUUGGAGCGGCCGAUAUCGGAUUAGCUAGUUGGUGGGGUAACGGCUCACCAAGGCGACGAGCCGUAGCUGGUUUGAGAGGACGACCAGCCACACGGGGACUUAGACAAGGCCCAGACGCCUACGGGAGGCAGCAGGGGGGAAUUUUGGACAAUGGGGGAAACCCUGAUCCAGCCAUCCCGCGUGUGCGAUGAAGGCCUUCGGGUUGUAAAGCACUUUUGGCAGGAAAGCGGUACCUGCAGAAUAAGCACCGGCUAACUACGUGCCAGCAGCCGCGGUAAUAC
rnacentral:rRNA from 1 species